CGGAUCUUCCCCUUCUCCCCCAUUCGUUUUCCUUGCUAGGGUUCGUCGUCCCCUCCUCAUUCCCUUCCCGACGAGCUCUCUCCCCAUUGCUAGGGUUCGUCGUGCUGGGGUUGGAGUAGACACGGCGGCGGCAGUGGCUCUUCCCCUUCCCCCCUCAUCCAUUUUUCCUUGCUGGGGUUUGACUAGACACAGAAAUUCCUCAUGCUGCCAUUUAGGGUUUAGGGUUGGUUCUCCUACGUUUCAACCUCGAGGUAUCAAUGAUUCUGAGGCAUACGACAUAUUUUUUGCGGUACGACAUGUAGCAACUACAAACCUGCUUGGGAUUACUGUCUUUUGGGUCUGGGUGUGGAGGUAUUUGAAGAUAUGAAGAAUAAUGUCUGAAUUGGACCACACUAAUUGUUGUUGACAUGUUCUGCCAUAUGGAGAUGGAAAGUGAUGCCACUUUUCUUUGCAACAUUAUCAACGUCUAUCCAUAUUUGACUAUUUAAUCUUAACGACGUGAUGUUUAUUUUUCUCAUAUUCUCAAAGGGGAACACUCACAUUCCAAGCGCAUCUCUCAAGGUGCCCAAGAUAUACUAAGCAAAAAUCUUGUAUCCUAAUCUGAUAACAUGCAUAAAUGUGGAUGGAAUAGGGGCAUAUGACUGGUUCAAUCAAGGCCAUGCUCCUGCUGUGACAUUUUAAUGCUAACGAAUAAGAUAUCAGCAUCGAUGAAAACAGCCUGAACAUAACCCAGACAUGGAUGCACCCGAUUUUCCCUGCCCUCUUCUAUGCCUGUGAAAGAGUCAUCAGGAAAUUUCAUGAGAACGACUACCAUUCAGGUAUUGUGAGUAAUUUAUCUGGGAGAUGUGCUCUCUAUUCACAUGAAGAAGCCUCGGGGUUUCAAGUACUAAAGUGGAAUGCAUCUUUUUUUUGUAAAAUACCAGGCACCCCUUCUCUAUAACUCUGGCACCAGGAGAUAACUACUUGACUGUGCAUAUCCGCACGCUGGGUGACCGGACAUCCAAACUUUCGAUUCUCUGAGAUUUUGAACUUUGAUGGCAGUGAAAGGGAUCAGGCUCCGAAAACAGGGAGCAAGAAUAUGUGAAAGGGAAAUGUGCCCUUGGGCCAUUUCUAAGUGUUUUGGUGAUUUAGUGUCCAACACAAGUGCCUAAGUGUAAAAAGGUAGACAAAGUACAAAUCAAGGAUAAAGGUAUGUUUCUCAGACUUAGUACAUUGUUUUAUGGACUAAUGUAUUGUGUCUAAGUGCUGGAAACAGGAAAAAUCCAAUUGGAAAUGUCUUGGCUCGAGCAGCCAAGAAUCUGCUGAGUCUGGGAGCACCGGACUGUCCGGUGGUGCACCGGACAGUGUCCGGUGCGCCAGGCUGGCUCGAGUGAACUGGCCGCUCUCGGGAAUUCACCGGCGACGUACGACUAUAAUUCACCGGACUGUCCGGUGUGCACCGGACUGUCCGGUGAGCCAACUGUCGGCCGGGCCAACGGUCGGCCGCGCGAUCUGCGCGGGACACGUGGCCGAGCCAACAGCUAGAAGGGGGCACCGGACUGUCCGGUGUGCACCGGACAUGUCCGGUGCGCCAACGGCUCUCAGGCUGCCAACGGUCGACUGCGCCACGUAUGGAAAGAAAUCUGGCACCGGACAUGUCCGGUGUGCACCGGACUGUCUGGUGCGCCAGUCGACAGAAGGCAAGAUCAGCCUUCCUAGAUUGCUCUCAACGGCUCCUAGCUGCCUUGGGGCUAUAAAAGGGACCCCUAGGCGCAUGGAGGAGAACACCAAGCAUACUCACAACAUUCCUAAGCACCAAGACAUCGAUUCCGCGCAUUUGUUUCUUUGUGAUAGCAUAUAGAGCUCUUGUGGAGUUGUGAACUCAUUGGGUUGUGUUGCGAGCUCUUGUUGCGACUUGUGUGCGUGUUGUUGCUCUGAUUUGUGAGUCUUGUGUGAGUUGCUCAUCCCUCCCUUACUCCGUGAUUCUUAGUAAACAUCAAAAGUGUGAGGGCGAGAGGCUCCAAGUUGUGGAGAUUCCUCGCGAACGGGAUAAGAAAAGAAAAGCAAAACACCGUGGUAUUCAAGUUGAUCAUUGGAUCACUUGAGAGGAGUUGAGUGCAACUCUCGUCCGUUGGGACGCCACAACGUGGAGUAGGCAAGCGUUGGUCUUGGCUGAACCACGGGAUAAA